AGUUGAGUGAAAGCCUUCGGCUCACCGAAGAAGUGCAUCGGAAACUGGGAAACUUGAGUGCAGAAGAGGACAGUGGAACUCCAUGUGUAGCGGUGAAAUGCGUAGAUAUAUGGAAGAACACCAGUGGCGAAGGCGGCUGUCUGGUCUGUAACUGACGCUGAGGCUCGAAAGUAUGGGUAGCAAACAGGAUUAGAUACCCUGGUAGUCCAUACCGUAAACGAUGAAUGCUAAGUGUUGGAGGGUUUCCGCCCUUCAGUGCUGCAGCUAACGCAUUAAGCAUUCCGCCUGGGGAGUACGGCCGCAAGGCUGAAACUCAAAGGAAUUGACGGGGGCCCGCACAAGCGGUGGAGCAUGUGGUUUAAUUCGAAGCUACGCGAAGAACCUUACCAGGUCUUGACAUACUAUGCAAAUCUAAGAGAUUAGACGUUCCCUUCGGGGACAUGGAUACAGGUGGUGCAUGGUUGUCGUCAGCUCGUGUCGUGAGAUGUUGGGUUAAGUCCCGCAACGAGCGCAACCCUUAUUAUCAGUUGCCAGCAUUAAGUUGGGCACUCUGGUGAGACUGCCGGUGACAAACCGGAGGAAGGUGGGGAUGACGUCAAAUCAUCAUGCCCCUUAUACCCUGGGGCU
rnacentral:rRNA from 1 species